GAUGAACGCUGGCGGCGUGCCUAAUACAUGCAAGUCGAGCGAACGGACGAGAAGCUUGCUUCUCUGAUGUUAGCGGCGGACGGGUGAGUAACACGUGGAUAACCUACCUAUAAGACUGGGAUAACUUCGGGAAACCGGAGCUAAUACCGGAUAAUAUUUUGAACCGCAUGGUUCAAAAGUGAAAGACGGUCUUGCUGUCACUUAUAGAUGGAUCCGCGCUGCAUUAGCUAGUUGGUAAGGUAACGGCUUACCAAGGCAACGAUGCAUAGCCGACCUGAGAGGGUGAUCGGCCACACUGGAACUGAGACACGGUCCAGACUCCUACGGGAGGCAGCAGUAGGGAAUCUUCCGCAAUGGGCGAAAGCCUGACGGAGCAACGCCGCGUGAGUGAUGAAGGUCUUCGGAUCGUAAAACUCUGUUAUUAGGGAAGAACAUAUGUGUAAGUAACUGUGCACAUCUUGACGGUACCUAAUCAGAAAGCCACGGCUAACUACGUGCCAGCAGCCGCGGUAAUACGUAGGUGGCAAGCGUUAUCCGGAAUUAUUGGGCGUAAAGCGCGCGUAGGCGGUUUUUUAAGUCUGAUGUGAAAGCCCACGGCUCAACCGUGGAGGGUCAUUGGAAACCGGAAAACUUGAGUGCAGAAGAGGGAAGUGGAAUUCCAUGUGUAGCGGUGAAAUGCGCAGAGAUAUGGAGGAACACCAGUGGCGAAGGCGACUUUCUGGUCUGUAACUGACGCUGAUGUGCGAAAGCGUGGGGAUCAAACAGGAUUAGAUACCCUGGUAGUCCACGCCGUAAACGAUGAGUGCUAAGUGUUAGGGGGUUUCCGCCCCUUAGUGCUGCAGCUAACGCAUUAAGCACUCCGCCUGGGGAGUACGACCGCAAGGUUGAAACUCAAAGGAAUUGACGGGGACCCGCACAAGCGGUGGAGCAUGUGGUUUAAUUCGAAGCAACGCGAAGAACCUUACCAAAUCUUGACAUCCUUUGACAACUCUAGAGAUAGAGCCUUCCCCUUCGGGGGACAAAGUGACAGGUGGUGCAUGGUUGUCGUCAGCUCGUGUCGUGAGAUGUUGGGUUAAGUCCCGCAACGAGCGCAACCCUUAAGCUUAGUUGCCAUCAUUAAGUUGGGCACUCUAAGUUGACUGCCGGUGACAAACCGGAGGAAGGUGGGGAUGACGUCAAAUCAUCAUGCCCCUUAUGAUUUGGGCUACACACGUGCUACAAUGGACAAUACAAAGGGCAGCGAAACCGCGAGGUCAAGCAAAUCCCAUAAAGUUGUUCUCAGUUCGGAUUGUAGUCUGCAACUCGACUACAUGAAGCUGGAAUCGCUAGUAAUCGUAGAUCAGCAUGCUACGGUGAAUACGUUCCCGGGUCU
rnacentral:rRNA from 1 species